rnacentral:lncRNA from 1 species
UCUAGACACAAAAUAAAACAUAAAGCUUCAUAUUACAAGCCAGGGGCCUCGAGGGCUAUAAUACAGAAGCUCGAUAAACACAUGAGUCAGCGGAAGCAACAAUAUCUGAGUACACACAUACACUUGGGGUGCCUUAGAGAAGGCUAGCACAAAAGAAACACGAUCGAACGAGGCGAGGACUCCUGCGUGGGAACCUCCUAAACUACUCCUGGUCUUCAGCGGCCUCCACGUAGAAGACACCAUCAGGAUGGCAUACAUCGGCAGGAAACUCCACUCCUGGGCUCCAUCAUCUGGUCGCAACAACGGAUAAAAGGGACAAAGGGGGAGCAAAGCAACGGUGAGCACUCAUUCGAAAUACUCACAAGACUUACAUCAGAACUAUGCUAAGUAUGCAUCAGUAUCAAAGAAGGGGGAUUUUAUGUGGACUGACUGCAACAAAGUAAGAAUAGAGAGAAGGCCUACUCCUAUCGAAGACUAUCAUCUUUAGGGUCUUGCAGCAAUAGACGAGAGUAGAGCAAGGUAACACAAUUAAAUAGUCAUAUUGUUGCAGCAAUAUUAAUAUAAGGUCAUGCCCAGAGAUCCUCCCUCGACUCCCUGCGAUGAAGCAAUCCCGGGGCAACUAAAUUCAGUUAAGUAACAAUUGUAGUUGUAUAAGAUC